UAAACUCAGAUCCGUUUUUGGUUUUGGUUACUUGGUAUGCGGAUUCUUAGUUUUGGGGCUUUUAAGUUUUGAUGUUUGUUUUUGUUUUCUUUUUAAACCCAAAACAGAUCAUUGACAGACAUUAAUCUAAUAGUGUUCUGCCAGAUUCUAUUUUGGGGACAUUGUCCCGAGCAAAAUCGUGAACUGUUGGCUUGGUAGUGCAUGCAUGUUGGGAAUUGGAAAAGAGGUUGCGUUUUGUAGGCUAAAUAAGUCUUAAGACAAAAGACAUAGAACCAAAGAGUUCUCAAAGUUUGGUACCCUCGGCUGAUAAAAACCAUAAGACAUGAAUUACUGACCUUGCGGCUUAAUGAUUCCUAAGACAAAGACAUAAAAGAACCAAAGAGCUCUGAUUGGUACCAUUGGCUUGGAAAAACCAUAAGACAAAGGAGUCAAAAGACAUUGGAAGGGUAGGGCAUGCAUGUAAGGAAAUGAGUUGCGAUAUGUUGGAUUGAGCGGACUAAAGAAAUCUUAAGACAAGAUUGUGACUUGUUUGAUGGUAAAAAUGACCAGAAAUUGGACCAACGUAUGUGCUUCUCAAGUUACGGUGUUCAGAUUGUCAAGACUUUUGAUAGGUAUAUAUGCUUUCAAACCUUUUUAUUUUUGUUUAAGUGCUUUCCAAACUUGUUUGUAAUUAGUAUAUGAAAAUCACAAGUGAAAGACACAUACAUCAUCCUGAACUCCAAAGUGGUAGUUUAUGGUGCUUUUAUCAACCAACCCUUAAUGAUGACGCAGUUGGGAACAGAUUCCAAUUCGAGAGACUAGUUAUUAUUUUCAGUUUGAAAAUCAUAAAAAUUGCUAGCGUUUCUAGAUGAACACAUUGUGUAUUUUGAUUUACUAUUCUCUAUGUUUCAGUGCUUGUGUAUCAUAAGCUCUCUUAUUCUAUAUAGUGGAUGUAGAGUCUCUCCUAGAUUAACUUAUGUAGAUUGUGUUUGUGUUCCUUGAACCUUGAAAGUAUUUUCUUUCCUUGUGCUCUAAAACUUUGGUGAUUGUUUUAAACAUGUGAAUGACAUCCUAGGAUUUUGCAUCAUCCACUGAGUAAAGGUUGAUUUUACUUUGGCUUUGGAAACAUUAUCUUCUGUGUUGAAAAUACUUAAUAUCUCUGUUUUGGUGUUUGUAUGUAUAAAUAACUUUUUUCAUUUAAUGAAAUAGAUGCAUCUUGGGAUCUACUGUAGUUACUUAUUUUUAAAUGUCUGUGAUAGUACUGCACAUUAUGGUAAUAAUAUUAUUGAAUCUCGAAUGUCUUUGUUUUGCAUUAUGCUCUAAACCCUUGGUAGUUGUUCUAAGCAUGUGAAACUGGAAUUCUGCAUUUAUUAUAUCUAUACACUAACUGAACUAUGGUAAUAAUAUUAAUCUCGAAUGUCUUUGUUUUGCGUUAUGCUCUAAACCCUUGGUGAUUGUUGUAAGCAUGUGAAACCAGAUUAUGGAAUUCCGCAUUAUACUCUAAUGAAUAUUGUGUUAGAUUCUAUAAUUUAUACCCCUUGGCUUGAGUGUUUACUAUAUCUAUACACUAACUGAAAAUGUCAUAAAUUCUCUUGUUUUACGAAAUAGAUGAACAUAGUUGAGACUCGUGCAGAUUAUGACAGUAUUUUUGUUAAAUCAUGAAUGGAUUUGUUUCGUGUUAUGUUCUCAAUCCUUGGUGAUCGGUACAAACAUGUUAACUGACAUUCUCAAAAUUUGCAUCAUACACUUGUAUGAUUAUUAUGUUAGUUUUUACCACUUGUUGUACUCUCUGCCUUGAUCUUUUUACAACACUAGUGCCUAUCUUUUGGUCUCUUAGUCUUUGCGCUUGGAACUCUAUCGAAUGAUUGGUGUAUUUAGUUAGAAUGCAAUGUGUAUUUCUUUAUUCUGUUCUAUGCCUUUUGUUUUAAUCACACUUUUCUUUUUGAUUGAUGUCAAAAUUCAGUUGUAGCCUUUCGGUAUACAUCUAUUCCAUUUUUACCAUUCAAUUUUGGUUGUUGUUGUUGUUUGUUUGUGCUAAACGCACAACUUGAAUUUCGAUGUUAGUUUUGUUGAAAAACAUAGUUUUUGUAUUUUUUUGUAUGGUCAUGAACAUACAUAAAAUAUAAUUUUUUAGCUUUGUUGUGUUAGAUUAUAAAAUAUGUAUGGUCAUGAACACCGUUCUGGCAUUUUUGGUUGGAAAAAGAAUGAUAUAUCAUUUUGCGUUUCGAAA